CUCAGUUCGGAUUGGAGCUGCAACUCGACUCCAUGAAGCUGGAUUCGCUAGUAAUCGCGCAUCAGCCAUGGCGCGGUGAAUACGUUCCCGGGCCUUGUACACACCGCCCGUCAAGCCAUGGGAGUCGGGAGUGCCUGAAGUUCGUGACCGUAUAGGAGCGACCUAGGGCAAGACUGAUGACUGGGGCUAAGUCGUAACAAGGUAAC
rnacentral:rRNA from 1 species